rnacentral:rRNA from 1 species
AGAGUUUGAUCAUGGCUCAGAGCGAACGCUGGCGGCAGGCCUAACACAUGCAAGUCGAACGGGCCCUUUCGGGGGUCAGUGGCAGACGGGUGAGUAACGCGUGGGAACGUGCCCAUCGGUUCGGGAUAACCCAGGGAAACUUGGGCUAAUACCGGAUACGCCCUUUUGGGGAAAGAUUCAUUGCCGAUGGAUCGGCCCGCGUCUGAUUAGCUAGUUGGUGAGGUAACGGCUCACCAAGGCGACGAUCAGUAGCUGGUCUGAGAGGAUGAUCAGCCACACUGGGACUGAGACACGGCCCAGACUCCUACGGGAGGCAGCAGUGGGGAAUAUUGGACAAUGGGCGCAAGCCUGAUCCAGCCAUGCCGCGUGAGUGAUGAAGGCCUUAGGGUUGUAAAGCUCUUUCACCCACGACGAUAAUGACGGUAGUGGGAGAAGAAGCCCCGGCUAACUUCGUGCCAGCAGCCGCGGUAAUACGAAGGGGGCUAGCGUUGCUCGGAAUCACUGGGCGUAAAGGGCGCGUAGGCGGCCGAUCAAGUCAGGGGUGAAAGCCUGUGGCUCAACCACAGAAUUGCCUUUGAUACUGUUUGGCUCGAGACCGGAAGAGGUUGGUGGAACUGCGAGUGUAGAGGUGAAAUUCGUAGAUAUUCGCAAGAACACCAGUGGCGAAGGCGGCCAACUGGUCCGGUUCUGACGCUGAGGCGCGAAAGCGUGGGGAGCAAACAGGAUUAGAUACCCUAGUAGUCC